rnacentral:misc_RNA from 1 species
AUUGAAUCGGUGAUCCUGGCGAAAUUUAUUGAAGCAGUGCAGAAUUGCCCAGAUGUAAGUUCUCGAGCUGCUUUGAAACUUGCUUGUGAUCUUUAUGCCUUGGAUCGAAUUUGGAAUGACAUAGGAACAUACCGCAAUGUUGAUUAUGUGGCACCAAACAAAGCUAAGGCAAUUCACAAGCUCACAGAAUAUCUUAGUUUCGAAGUGAGAAACAUUGCAAGGGAACUUGUUGAUGCAUUCGAUCUUCCUGAUCGUGUUACACGGGCUCCAAUCGCCAUGCAGUCUGAAGCUUAUGCUCAGUACACUCAGCAUGUUGGAUUUUAAUUUGUAGAGAAGCAAUGACAGCAAAAGAUGAGUUUAUUCAAGAUGGCCAGUUGGGGAAGGCAGGGAUAGUUUGCAUAUUCCGUAGUUUUGUAUUGUUAUUCCUAAUAAACUCAAUGGGGAUCAAGGGAAGAAUAAUGUAGUGAAAACUUAUACGUCUUUCCCUUCCAGAAGGUAGCUUGUACUCUUAUAUUGUAUAUCUUUAAUCGUGUAAUCAAUUACACGUAAUACGAGUCAACUUUUAAAAUAUGACUCUCGAAUGAUUUGAGUGGGAAAACUUGCAUUGGAUUUUAUUUCCAUACAGUUUUCCC